rnacentral:tRNA from 1 species
GCAGUGGUGGUUCAGUGGUACAACUCUCAUCUUCCAGGCAGGAGACCCAGGUUGCGUUCCUGGCCAAUGCA